GCCGUAGCGAAAGCGAGUUUUAACUGAGCGUUCAGUUACUUGACGUAGACCCGAAACCGGGCGACCUACCCAUGAGCAGGAUGAAGCGAAAGUAAAAUUUCGUGGAGGUCCGAACCCACGAGCGUUGAAAAGCUCGGGGAUGACUUGUGGGUAGCGGUGAAAUUCCAAUCGAGCCCGGAGAUAGCUGGUUCUCCCCGAAAUAGCUUUAGGGCUAGCCUCAAGGUGAGAGAUACGGAGGUAGAGCACUGAAUGUCCUAGGGGGUAUUGCACCUACCGAAGACUAUCAAACUCCGAAUGCCGUCAUCUUAUACUUGGGAGUCAGACUGUGGGUGAUAAGAUUCAUAGUCGAAAGGGCAACAGCCCAGAUCGUCAGCUAAGGUCCCUAAAUGUAAGUUAAGUGGUAAAGGAUGUGGGAUUGCACAGACAACCAGGAUGUUGGCUUAGAAGCAGCCACUCAUUCAAAGAGUGCGUAAUAGCUCACUGGUCGAGUGAUCCUGCGCCGAAGAUUUCCGGGGCUAAAACUUACUACCGAAGCUACGGCAUCAGUAAUGAUGGGUAGGGGAGCUUCCCAUACGGGUUGAAGCAUGACCGUAAGGACAUGUGGACAGUAUGGGAGUGAGAAUGUUGGCAUGAGUAGCGAGAUGUGGGUGAGAAUCCCACAGGCCGUAAACCCAAGGUUUCCAGGGGAAGGUUCGUCCGCCCUGGGUUAGUCGGGACCUAAGCUGAGGCCGAAAGGCGUAGGUGAUGGACAACAGGUUGAUAUUCCUGUACUACCGAUAACCGUUUGAGAGAAGGGAUGACACAGUAGGAUAAGCUAAGCACACUGUUGGUUAUGUGUGCCCAAGCAUUGAGGCAGUCAAAGUAGGCAAAUCCGCUUUGAUAAUGCUGGGAUGUGAUGGGGAGCGAAAUUUAGUAGCGAAGUAGCUGAUUUCACACUGUCAAGAAAAGUCUCUAUCGAGGUUAAAGGUACCCGUACCGCAAACCGACACAGGUGGGUGAGGAGAGUAUCCUAAGGCCAGCGAGAGAACUGUUGUUAAGGAACUCGGCAAAAUGACCCCGUAACUUAGGGAUAAGGGGUGCCACCAUCAGGUGGCCGCAGAGAAUAGGCCCAAGCGACUGUUUACCAAAAACAUAGGUUUCUGCUAAGUCGCAAGACGAUGUAUAGGAGCUGACGCCUGCCCGGUGCUGGAAGGUUAAGGGGAUCUGUUAGAGCAAUCGAAGCAGUGAACUUAAGCCCCAGUAAACGGCGGCCGUAACUAUAACGGUCCUAAGGUAGCGAAAUUCCUUGUCGGGUAAGUUCCGACCCGCACGAAAGGCGUAACGAUUUGGGCACUGUCUCAACAACAGACUCGGUGAAAUUGUAAUUCCGGUGAAGAUGCCGGAUACCUGCGACAGGACGGAAAGACCCCAUGGAGCUUUACUGUAGCUUGACAUUGGGUCUUGGUACUACAUGUACAGGAUAGGUGGGAGGCUUUGAAACCAGGACGCCAGUUUUGGCGGAGCCAUCCUUGGGAUACCACCCUUGUAGUACUGGGACUCUAACCAUAGGCCAUGAAUCUGGUCUUGGGACACUGUCAGGUGGGCAGUUUGACUGGGGCGGUCGCCUCCCAAAAGGUAACGGAGGCGCUCAAAGGUUCUCUCAGUACGGUCGGAAAUCGUACGUAGAGUGUAAAGGCAAAAGAGAGCUUGAUUGCAAGACAUACAGGUCGAGCAAGGAUGAAAAUCGGACUUAGUGAUCCGGUGGUUCUGCGUGGAAGGGCCAUCGCUCAACGGAUAAAAGCUACCCUGGGGAUAACAGGCUUAUCUCCCCCAAGAGUCCACAUCGACGGGGAGGUUUGGCACCUCGAUGUCGGCUCAUCACAUCCUGGGGCUGUAGUAGGUCCCAAGGGUUGGGCUGUUCGCCCAUUAAAGUGGUACGCGAGCUGGGUUCAGAACGUCGUGAGACAGUUCGGUCCCUAUCCGUCGCAGGCGUAGGAAAUUUGAGAAGACCUGUCCUUAGUACGAGAGGACCGGGAUGGACGUACCUCUGGUGUACCAGUUGU
rnacentral:rRNA from 1 species